GGACUACAGGGGUUUCUAAUCCCGUUCGCUACCCUAGCUUUCGUUCCUCAGCGUCAGAAAAGACCCAGUAAGCCGCCUUCGCCACCGGUGUUCCAGAUGAUAUCAAUGCAUUUCACCGCUCCACCAUCUGUUCCGCUUACCCCUAUCUCCCUCAAGCCCUGUGGUUUGAAACGCAGUUCCUCGGUUAAGCCGAGGGCUUUCACAUCUCACCUACAGAGCCGCCUACGAACUCUUUAAGCCCAGUAAUACCGAAUAACGUUUGGGGAGCUCGUCUUACCGCGGCUGCUGGCAC
rnacentral:misc_RNA from 1 species